rnacentral:rRNA from 1 species
UGUCUUUUGAGUACUUACGUUUCCUCGGCGGGUCCGCCCGCCGAUUGGACAAUUUAAACCAUUUGCAGUUGCAAUCAGCGUCUGAAAAACUUUAAUAGUUACAACUUUCAACAACGGAUCUCUUGGUUCUGGCAUCGAUGAAGAACGCAGCGAAAUGCGAUAAGUAGUGUGAAUUGCAGAAUUCAGUGAAUCAUCGAAUCUUUGAACGCACAUUGCGCCCCUUGGUAUUCCAUGGGGCAUGCCUGUUCGAGCGUCAUUUGUACCUUCAAGCUUUGCUUGGUGUUGGUGUUUGUCUCGCCUCUGCGUGUAGACUCGCCUUAAAACAAUUGGCAGCCGGCGUAUUGAUUUCGGAGCGCAGUACAUCUCGCGCUUUGCACUCAUAACGACGACGUCCAAAAGUACAUUUUUACACUCUUGACCUCGGAUCAGGUAGG